CCAUAGAUAUAGGAGAUCUAGAUUGCUAACGCAUACCCAGCGCAGGCGGGGCCUACAUGAUAAAUCCAAGAUGGCGGUACAACAGGGCAAAAAGACUAUAAAUUCUAUUACGAAAAUCAGGAUUUUUGCAUUUUUUGCCGUCGCAUUGUUUCGAAACUUAUUCGGUCAAAUUUUAUGGUAAAGAGAAACUUACCGCGAAGAUUUUGAGCAUAUAUAUGAUUGAAUUGGAUGAAAAAUCGCAAAAUUAUCCAGCGAUAAAAGUUCGUGUGAAAUGGUCAGUUGGUCAGUUGGAGCG